rnacentral:lncRNA from 1 species
GACGGGUUCGAGCCAGGGGGCACGGAUCGACGAGGCAGGCUGCAGGGAAGACGCCGGCGCAACUCAAGGCCGCCGGCAAAGGCCUGGGACGACGGGGGACUGCUGAUGGGUCGAAUGGUGCUGGGGCCGUGGCCGGGUUGCGCUGGACGUCGGGCAAACCGGAGCUGGAUCCGAGCGGGCGUAGCGCUGGGGGCUGGAGCGGCGAGGCGCGGCGCCGCAGGUCUGAGAUCGAUCCGAGUGCAGACGUGCCGAAGGGUGCGACG